CUCGAUCGACACACAUCGUCUCUCGAUUCACCACACGAUUUCAUUUGACCGUACCUGUGUAAUAAAGUAAAGUUUUGUGGUGUAUAUAAGUUGAAUAAUUUUCUCUAGAUAUGAGCAUCUUUUUUAUUAACGAAUUCUUCUUACUGUGCUUCAUCAUGGCCAUGGUACCGGAUGUUCUGGUGCUGGGUUCACCGAAAGCCACGAAACUUGUCGACAAGAAUACGCCGCCGACAAUGUGCAACUACAGCAUAGCUAAUUUAGUACUGAAAGCUCAAUGCUCCAAUCGAAAAUUUUAAAAAAUCCCUAUGGAUUUAAAGGCGGACAUACAGAUGCUGGAUAUGAGCGGGAGUCAUUUGAUGGUACUGACGAAUAAAAGUCUGCAUUCUUACAAGAAACUGACCUACAUCAAUCUAGGUAAAGGUCACAUCGCCUCUCAGAGUGCUGGAGCUAAAUAGGAACUUGCUAUCCGUGAUCCCGAACAUAGGCGUCCAGCCGACCCUCCUUAAUCUGAACCUGUCCGGCAACGUAAUUACCUCGAUCAGCACCGAGGAUCUGGCGCCGUUUUGCUCGCUGAAGGACCUUGACCUGACCAGUAAUAGGAUCAGAUUCAACGGGAGCAGCUGCGAUUGUCAGAAGUUCAGCGCGUGGGUGAAGCUGCGGCAGAUCAAGAUAAAGACAGACGAUCUCUACAAAUGUACCGAGUCACCGGCAGCUUUGAACGAGACCUGCGCCAACGUAAGAUUCAGCAAUCGGACGUACGAGCUGUUCGACCAGUGCUCGGCCAUGAUACCGCAGAAGAUAGAGACCGAGGAAGUUGGAGCGGUCUGGAUAAGCGUCGCCUUAUGCAUUAUAGUGCUCCUCUUCGUAGUGUUUAUGGCGUUGUUUUACGUGUACAAGCGGUACCGUAGGGAGCAGAUAGAGAAACUAAUAGCGAACGAUUACGUCGAGCUGUACCGACAGUAACUUGACUGUAAUUAGUGAAACAGCUCUUUGACGGCAGAAACAUUUAUUUUUCCUAAAUAUAUAUUCGAUUAAAUGCUCUGUGAAUUUUGAGUCGAUUAAACUCUUUCUAUAAACACAAACACUACAGUUCUUGCUCUCUUUCUCUUUUUUUUUUAGUUAUAGCAAAACAUCGUUUAUUUGAGAAAUAAAUUGCUAAUAAAGAGCGAGAACUAUCGUGCUUGUGUUUAUUGGAAAAGUUUAAUCGACUCAGGAUUCACAAGGCAUUUAAUCGAAUAUAUAUCUACGUACCAAUGUUUGUAUGUGAUCCAAUGUUGUAUCAAUUUUUGGAAUAUUUAUUAGAAUAUUUUUAGAAAGAGUACACUGGACAUACAUUAGACAUCCUUAUGCCAUCUGGGUAUGAGUAUAUUAAUCUCCGCGGAGCUGUCUUCUUCAUUGAUUACUUUCGUUAAAGCCUGUUUUCUCUUUUUUCCAUUUACAAUAUUAAGCAAUCUCCAAUAAUAAGUACUAUUAAACGUCCAAAAGUUUUUUUUCGAUAUCUCUGACUUCUGGAGAUACAUAUAUUAUAUAGCCUCUUGAACACAGACGUUAUGAUCAAUAAAAGCGUUAUAAAUUAUCAUUCAGUUAUGAAAAAGGCAAUUUCGCGGAGAUUAAUAUAUUUAUACUCUGACAGCACAAAAAUGUCUAAUGUAUGUCCGGAGAAUAUUCGUUCUUAGACAUUGAGAUAUUCUUAAUCAAUCCAAAUAAGGUCUAUCGGAUAUUCGAUGAACGUCCAUUAGUUAAACAUUUGUCACAAUUUGGUACAUCUACAGAAUGUCCGAAAUAUAGCCAGCUUUGGAGCUUGCUCAAUUAUUGAUUUUGGAUUUAUUAUGGACUGAUUUAGGAUAUCUUUCUUUAAUUGUAAAUUUUUAUUAACAAUAACAAUUAAAUAAAUUUUGUUU